rnacentral:rRNA from 1 species
GACGAACGCUGGCGGCGUGCUUAACACAUGCAAGUCGAACGGAAAGGCCCUGCUUUUGUGGGGUGCUCGAGUGGCGAACGGGUGAGUAACACGUGAGUAACCUGCCCUUGACUUUGGGAUAACUUCAGGAAACUGGGGCUAAUACCGGAUAGGAGCUCCUGCUGCAUGGUGGGGGUUGGAAAGUUUCGGCGGAUGGGGAUGGACUCGCGGCUUAUCAGCUUGUUGGUGGGGUAGUGGCUUACCAAGGCUUUGACGGGUAGCCGGCCUGAGAGGGUGACCGGCCACAUUGGGACUGAGAUGCGGCCCAGACUCCUACGGGAGGCAGCAGUGGGGAAUAUUGCACAAUGGGCGGAAGCCUGAUGCAGCAACGCCGCGUGCGGGAUGACGGCCUUCGGGUUGUAAACCGCUUUCGCCUGUGACGAAGCGUGAGUGACGGUAAUGGGUAAAGAAGCACCGGCUAACUACGUG